rfam:Oryza punctata chromosome 2, whole genome shotgun sequence.
AGCUGAUUCGGUAGCCAAGGAUGACUUGCCUAAUGCCUAUGUGCAUGUGUUUAUAUGCUGCUCAUCUGCAUUUCCAUUCUCUUGAUCAGGCCUGUCGUCAAUUAUAAGCCGAUCCUGAUCAAUUGAUAUGUGUCAAUGUGUGUGUAGUACUCUGUACUCCUACAUAUAUAGGCAUGUCUUCCUUGGCUAUUCGGAGUGGCCCU